UUUGUCUUUCCCAGCUGAAUCCUCAGGAAACAACAGGGUCACAAUCCAAAACGACUGGACUGGCGGUUCAGCAGCACCACCAGGGGAACUCCUAAGAGAUUCUGCCGGUGCCAUGCAACUGAACGGUCUAAUGAAUGGCCUCAAUUAUAUUAUGCACUGGGAUCGUGAACCAGAGACUAACAGGCCCAAGAGAUGUGACAAUUGGGCUUGGGAGGGGUGCACUGAUAUUGAACAAGCCAUUAAGGUCUAUAAAUGGAGGAAGAAGUUGGCUUGGAGGUAGGAAGGAAUUAUGUCGUCCCUUCCCCCUCAGAUUCCCUUGUGACUUCCCUUCUUUUCUCUUUAAGUUGAUCUUCAUCUUGGUCUCUGUGUUUCUUUUGUCUUACAUAUUUAGAGUGAUCUGUAUCAUAAAUAUAAGAUCUAUUUUGUAGUCAUGUACAUUUUUGUAAA